GACGAACGCUGGCGGCGUGCUUAACACAUGCAAGUCGAACGAAGUGGCGAACGGGUGAGUAACGCGUAAUCAACCUGCCCUUCAGAGGGGGACAACAGUUGGAAACGACUGCUAAUACCGCAUACUGAAGGAGGGGAUUGCGUCUGAUUAGCUAGUUGGAGGGGUAACGGCCCACCAAGGCGAAGAUCAGUAGCCGGGGUGAGCGAAUGAACGGCCACAUUGAGACUGAGACACGGCCCAGACUCCUACGGGAAGCAGCAGUGGGGAAUCUGCCGCAAUGGACGAAAGUCUGAUGGAGCAACGCCGCGUGAGUGAUGACGUCCUUCGGGUUGUAAAGCUCUGUUAAUCGGGACGCGGUACCGGAAUAGAAAGCCACGGCUAACUACGUGCCAGCAGCCGCGGUAAUUC
rnacentral:rRNA from 1 species